rnacentral:rRNA from 1 species
UACAGAGGUCUCAAGCGUUGUUCGGAUUCAUUGGGCGUAAAGGGUGCGUAGGUGGUGAGGUAAGUCGGAUGUGAAAGCUCGGAGCUCAACUCCGAAAUGGCAUUGGAAACUACCUUGCUCGAGGGUUGGAGGGGGGACUGGAAUGCUUGGUGUAGCAGUGAAAUGCGUAGAUAUCAAGCGGAACACCAGUGGCGAAGGCGAGUCCCUGGACAACUCCUGACACUGAGGCACGAAAGCUAGGGGAGCAAACGGG